GCAGAAAUGAAACUAGAACACACCUUCCUCCAGUGCCCCCCACUCAAUGAGCAACAGCCCAGGAGGCCUCGACUAACUCAGUUCAAGGAGAGUAGAGGAUCCAGAAGCCAGAGCCUUCCCAUCAGACACAUCUCGGCAGUGUAGCUUGGAUGCUCCAUGUGAACACUGCUUUGACUGAAGUGAUGCCAGUGACCCAGGUUCCUGCUCCUUUGUUCUGGUUGCCCACAAACCAUACUGCACAGCAAAGGCACUGUGGAUCCCUCCACCUUCACCAGGUCUGAAGUGGAAAGGAAAAGAUGGGUAAAAUGAAACACAAAAAUGGUGACACUGCUUCCUUGGAGUUAUCCACCAGCUUUGGCUCUUACAGCCUUUCUGCCUCCUCUUCAGCACAGCACUCUGACCUUGGAUGUAGCAAUUUGAGGAAGGGAUCCCAUUUACUAUGACCCAGGUUCCUGCUCCUUUGUUCUGGUUGCCCACAAACCAUACUGCACAGCCAAGGCACUGUGGAUCCCUCCACCUUCACCAGGUCUGAAGUGGAAAGGAAAAGAUGGGCAAAAUGAAACACAAAACGGAUGACACUGCUUCCUUGGAGUUAUCCACCAGCUUUGGCUCUUACAGCCUUUCUGCCUCCUCUUCAGCACAGCACUCUGACCUUGGAUGUAGCAAUUUGAGGAAGGGAUCCCAUUUACUAAGCCAACUCCCCUUUGGACCCCAGGCUCUGUGUCCUCCUACUUGUGCUGUCCAUCUUCUUCUGCGGCAGAAGUGCUCCACUACAACAAGAUUAACUAACUAAGAGCCACUCCCUUAAAGAAAACAGUUCUCUCUCUCU